rnacentral:rRNA from 1 species
GAACGUACGCUGGCGGCACGCCUAACACAUGCAAGUCGAACGAAGUAGCAAUACUUAGUGGCAGACGGGUGAGUAACAUGUAGGUAUCUGCCCUUUGGCCUGGAAUAACACGAGGAAACUUGUGCUAAUACCGGAUAAGUCUUUACAGAGAAAGCUUUAUGCACCAUUGGAUGAGCCUGCACUUGAUUAGUUUGUUGGUGGGGUAAUGGCCUACCAAGACUGUGAUCAAUAGCUGAUUUGAGAGGAUGAUCAGCCACAUUGGGACUGAGACACGGCCCAAACUCCUACGGGAGGCAGCAGUGGGGAAUCUUGCACAAUGGAGGAAACUCUGAUGCAGCGAUGCCGCGUGAGUGAAGAAGGCCUUUGGGUUGUAAAGCUCUUUCGUCGGGGAAGAAAAUGACUGUACCCGAAUAAGAAGGUCCGGCUAACUUCGUGCCAGCAGCCGCGGUAAUACGAAGGGACCUAGCGUAGUUCGGAAUUACUGGGCUUAAAGAGUUCGUAGGUGGUUGAAAAAGUUAGUGGUGAAAUCCCCAGAGCUUAACUCUGGAACUGCCAUUAAAACUUUUCAGCUAGAGUAUGAUAGAGGAAAGCAGAAUUUCUAGUGUAGAGGUGAAAUUCGUAGAUAUUAGAAAGAAUACCAAUUGCGAAGGCAGCUUUCUGGAUCAUUACUGACACUGAGGAACGAAAGCAUGGGUAGCGAAGAGGAUUAGAUACCCUCGUAGUCCAUGCCGUAAACGAUGUGUGUUAGACGUUGGAAAUUUAUUUUCAGUGUCGCAGGGAAACCGAUAAACACACCGCCUGGGGAGUACGACCGCAAGGUUAAAACUCAAAUGAAUUGACGGGGACCCGCACAAGUAGUGGAGCAUGUGGUUUAAUUCGAAGAUACGCGCAGAACCUUACCAACACUUGACAUGUUCGUCGCGACUCUAAGAGAUUAGAGUUUUCGGUUCGGCCGGACGAAACACAGGUGCUGCAUGGCUGUCGUCAGCUCGUGUCGUGAGAUGUUGGGUUAAGUCCCGCAACGAGCGCAACCCUCACUUUUAGUUGCCAUCAUUAAGUUGGGCACUCUGAAAGAACUGCCAGUGAUAAGCUGGAGGAAGGUGGGGAUGACGUCAAGUCCUCAUGGCCCUUACGUGUUGGGCUACACACGUGCUACAAUGGUAUCUACAACAGGAAGCAAGACUGCGAAGUUAAGCAAAUCCCUAAAAGAUACCUCAGUUCGGAUUGCACUCUGCAACUCGAGUGCAUGAAGCUGGAAUUACUAGUAAUCGUGGAUCAGCGUGCCACGGUGAAUGCGUUCCCGGGUCUUGUACACACCGC